CAGUAGCCGCGGGAAUACGAAGGGGGCUAGCGUUGCUCGGAAUUACUGGGCGUAAAGGGAGCGUAGGCGGAUCGUUAAGUUGGGGGUGAAAGCCCGGGGCUCAACCUCGGAACUGCCUUCAAUACUGGCGAUCUUGAGUAUGAGAGAGGUGUGUGGAACUCCGAGUGUAGAGGUGAAAUUCGUAGAUAUUCGGAAGAACACCAGUGGCGAAGGCGACACACUGGCUCAUUACUGACGCUGAGGCUCGAAAGCGUGGGGAGCAAACAGGAUUAGAUACCCCUGUAGUCCCUGUCUCUAUACA
rnacentral:rRNA from 1 species